rnacentral:rRNA from 1 species
GACGAACGCUGGCGGCGUGCUUAACACAUGCAAGUCGAACGAAGUGGCGAACGGGUGAGUAACGCGUAAUCAACCUGCCCUUCAGAGGGGGAUAACAGUUGGAAACGACGGCUAAUACCGCAUACUGAAGGAGGUGAUUGCGUCUGAUUGACUAGUUGGGGGGGUAACGGACCACCAAGGCGGUGAUCAGUAGGCGGGCUUGGGGGAGGGACCGCCACAACGGGAACGGGGCACGGCCCAGAAUCCUACGGGAGGGCGCAGUUGGGGAUCUUCCGCCAUGGAGGGAAGUCUUGCGGAGCAACGGCGGGGGAGUGGUGGCGGGCUUUGGGUUGUAAAGCUCUGUUCAUCGGGGCGCGGUACCCGAAUAGAAAGCCACGGCUAACUACGUGCCAGCAGCCGCGGUAAUAC